CUUUUUCCAUCUUUUUUUUUCUAUUUUAUAUUUUCUUGUAUCAUUUCCUAUGGCUGUGUACGUAAUGUGUCAACUUGAAUCUACAACUGUGUUUGCAGUGUCUACUUAACUCUGUGAAAAUCAAACACUUCUAACUUUUUUCAUCUUUUCUUAAUCACAUUUUUUUCUAUUUUGUAUUUUCUUGUAUCACUUUCUAUUAAUGUGUAUGUAAUGUGUCAACUCGAAUCUACGCCUGUGUUUGCAAUAAGUCAAAUCUAUGACUGUGUUCGCAAUAUGUCUUCUUAAAUUACGACUGUGUUUGCUGUCCAAUUGAAUCUAAGGCUCAGACCAGUUUACACGCACAUCUUAUUUUAAACCUUUGCAUUUCCGAGAUCAUUUUUACGCGUCAGAUUCAGGCUAAUUUACGUAAGGUCAGCGUGUUAGUCUCGUUUGUCACUGCCAUUCGUGUGGAGAAUAACCAGCCUGUCAUGCUCACUCCUGUAUGUUUAAAUUAAGUUGCAAAUUUAUCUUAAACAUUUGCAUUUCAGUGAUUAAUUUUACAUUAGGUUCAGCAUGCCAAAUGUCUCGUCCGUCACUGCCAUUCGUGUUGGGAGACAAAAAAACAGCCUCGUCACACUCACUCCUGUAUAUAUUUAGGAAGAAGAAGCAACAUCACUGUAAUCACUCUUGUACAAAACCAUUUGUUAGUUUCAUUUUCAUAAAGGUAUUCCAUUUCAAGAAGUAUAUUAUUACCACUGACUUUCCCCUCUUAUGGCUGUGUGUUAGGAGGUGAAGCAGCUCAGACCAACACCCUCUCCCUGUGUGUGUGUGUGUGUGUGUGUGUACGGAUGUUAAUAAAAAGUCACCGUCUUCAUGGUUUUAAUAAAUAAGAGCUGCCGACGACAGUAAAAAUUAUACAAAAAUAUUGCCACCACACCAGUACCGUACGAACCCUACACUUUGAGAAUCUACCAACACACACACGCGCAGGGCUGCACUACGCUCUCAUCUCUUCAACGUAUAACACAGGACUGAUACAGGUACAGAAGGUGAUGGAGUGUGAGGUAAGGCUGUUUUAUUCCCCAAGAUAUCCUAUUCUCUCUUUCCCAGUGUCAUUAAGUUAUGUAUAAACUUGUAAGUAUAUGUAACUAUUUAGAUAUGUGUUGACAGGGAGGGCCUUAUUUUUUUCUAUAUAACCGUCUUUUCUUCAAUAUGUGCGCUGUCUUGUUAUUCAUUCUACUGUGGGUUAUUCCUUUCCAUCUUUAAUUAGUCAUAUUUUUUAUAUUCCUCUACCUCGUUAUCCAUCAAUCUCUACCUUUUUUUUUUAAUUGAACUUUGAACCAUUUCGCUUUUAGUUAUUCCACUGUUGGUCAUUUUUCUUACAGUCUCUAUCUUUUGUAUUUGUCAUUUCACUUGGGUCAUUCCUCUCACAGCCUCUCCACCUCUGUACCCCAUCAUUCCACUAAGCAAAGAUUCAUUUACACACAAUAACUCAUCCCUUACUUUUUUCUUUGUGCAAACGUACGGGCCAAACACAUGACACCAUCUUUUCCAACACUUACAACCUCUGUGACACAAUUCUUGGCAACACUCUGCACCAUACUGUGUGGGCAUUUAAACAUCUUGACUAUUAUUACCAAGCCAAGAAAUAGUUGUGCAUCCGUAUCUAAGCUAUUCACUACCUUAUGGGAGUUUCGUCAGAAUAUAUGUCCUAGGAGGAACUGUUCAGACUGACUUGGCAAAUAAGCCCCGCCCCCUUCCCCUAAUCAGUGUGUCUCAUUGGUCAGUUCACAUGCAAGUCUCACCCAUUUUCUCUAAAGCUGUAUGUCAUUGGUGGUAGGAAAGGUUAAAUCUCAUUGGUGGAUGCUGGGAAAGGUUAAAUCUCAAUGGUGGAUGCUGGGAAGGGUUGAUUCUCACUGGUGGAUGCUGGGAAAUGUUGAAUUUUCUUUCCUAAUUCCAGUAAAGGUCAAAUCUUGUGAGUGGAUGCUAGGAAAGGUUAAAU